GACGAACGCUGGCGGCGUGCUUAACACAUGCAAGUCGAACGGAAAGGCCCUGCUUUUGUGGGGUGCUCGAGUGGCGAACGGGUGAGUAACACGUGAGUAACCUGCCCUUGACUUUGGGAUAACUUCAGGAAACUGGGGCUAAUACCGGAUAGGAGCUCCUGCUGCAUGGUGGGGGUUGGAAAGUUUCGGCGGCUGGGGAUGGACUCGCGGCUUAUCAGCUUGUUGGUGGGGUAGUGGCUUACCAAGGCUUUGACGGGUAGCCGGCCUGAGAGGGUGACCGGCCACAAUGGGACUGAGAGACGGCCCAGACUCCUACGGGAGGCAGCAGUGGGGAAUAUGGCACAAUGGGCGGAAGCCUGAUGCAGCAACGCCGCGUGCGGGAUGACGGCCUUCGGGUUGUAAACCGCUGUCGCCUGUGACGAAGCGUGAGUGACGGUAAUGGGUAAAGAAGCACCGGCUAACUACGUG
rnacentral:rRNA from 1 species